GUCUGUGUUUAGAAUGGCUGAAGCAGCAAAAGGUAUUCUCCGGUAAUGACAUAGUGCAUUGAAAGCUGUUAUUGCUUGAGAAUACAAAUUGUUGUCCGGCCAACAAACUGUUCAACAGU
rnacentral:pre_miRNA from 9 species